rnacentral:rRNA from 1 species
CCUUCGGGAGACGAGUAGAGCGGCGAACGGGUGAGUAACGCGUAGAUAAUCUACCUUUGAGAUUGAGAUAACCUCGGGAAACUGGGGCUAAUACCAAAUGACGCCUUUUGAAUGGAAACUAAAGGUUAAAGGGGCUUUUGUCCCGCUUGAGGAUGAGUCUGCGUUCUAUCAGCUAGUUGGUGAGGUAAUGGCUUACCAAGGCAAAGACGGAUAGCUGGUCUGAGAGGAUGAUCAGUCACACUGGCACUGAGACACAGGCCAGACUCCUACGGGAGGCAGCAGUAGGGAAUAUUGCGCAAUGGGCGAAAGCCUGACGCAGCGACGCCGCGUGAGCGAAGAAGGCCUUAUGGGUUGUAAAGCUCUGUAAGGAGGGAAGAACAUCUUGGGGUAAUGCCUAAGACUGACGGUACCUCCUAAGUAAGCACCGGCUAAAUACGUGCCAGCAGCCGCGGUAAUACGUAUGGUGCGAGCGUUGUCCGGAAUGACUGGGCGUAAAGGGUGCGUAGGCGGACUGACAUGUCAGGUGUGAAAUCCCCGGGCUUAACCUGGGAACUGCGCUUGAAACGGUUAGUCUUGAGUAUGUCAGAGGUAAGCGGAAUUCCCGGAGUAGCGGUGAAAUGCGUAGAGGUCGGGAAGAACACCAGUGGCGAAGGCGGCUUACUGGGACAACGCUGACGCUGAGGCACGAAAGCGUGGGGAGCGAACGGGAUUAGAUACCCCGGUAGUCCACGCCGUAAACGAUGUAUACUAGAUGUCGGGGCCGAUUAAAGGACUCGGUAUCGCAGCUAACGCGAUAAGUAUACCGCCUGGGGAGUACGGUCGCAAGAUUAAAACUCAAAGGAAUUGACGGGGGCCCGCACAAGCGGUGGAGCAUGUGGUUUACUUCGAUGCAACGCGCAGAACCUUACCCGGCCUUGACAUCCUCUGGCCAGAUUCUAGAGAUAGAAUCCUUCUCUUCGGAGACCAGAGUGACAGGUGCUGCAUGGCUGUCGUCAGCUCGUGUUGUGAGAUGUUGGGUUAAGUCCCGCAACGAGCGCAACCCUUGCUUUUAGUUGCCAUCAUUAAGUUGGGCACUCUAAAAGGACUGCCGAGGUUAACUCGGAGGAAGGCGGGGAUGACGUCAAGUCCUCAUGGCCCUUAUGGCCGGGGCUACACACGUGCUACAAUGGUGCGGACAGAGUGAAGCGAAGCCGCGAGGUUUAGCGAAUCACAAAAACCGUAUCUUAGUUCGGAUUGGAGUCUGCAACUCGACUCCAUGAAGCUGGAAUCGCUAGUAAUCGCAGAUCAGCAUGCUGCGGUGAAUACGUUCCCGGGCCUUGUACACACCGCCCGUCACACCAUGGGAGCUGUUCUUACUGGAAAACGUUGGGCUAGCCUUCGGGAGGCAGGCGUUAAUGGUGAGGAUAGUGACUGGGGUGAAGUCGUAACAAGGUA